AAAACUUGAUAUUGAGUCAGGUUCUUUUUCUUAUUUAGAGGCCCUUCAUAUUGUGAGGCACUAAACUGUAGCUUAAGUAGUUUAAGCCUAAAUCUGACACUGAUACAAGUCAGUAACA